rnacentral:rRNA from 1 species
CGGCGGACGGGUGAGUAAUGCCUAGGAAUCUGCCUGGUAGUGGGGGACAACGUUUCGAAAGGAACGCUAAUACCGCAUACGUCCUACGGGAGAAAGCAGGGGACCUUCGGGCCUUGCGCUAUCAGAUGAGCCUAGGUCGGAUUAGCUAGUUGGUGGGGUAAUGGCUCACCAAGGCGACGAUCCGUAACUGGUCUGAGAGGAUGAUCAGUCACACUGGAACUGAGACACGGUCCAG